rnacentral:rRNA from 1 species
GACGAACGCUGGCGGCGUGCUUAACACAUGCAAGUCGAACGGAAAGGCCCUGCUUUUGUGGGGUGCUCGAGUGGCGAACGGGUGAGUAACACGUGAGUAACCUGCCCUUGACUUUGGGAUAACUUCAGGAAACUGGGGCUAAUACCGGAUAGGAGCUCCUGCUGCAUGGUGGGGGUUGGAAAGUUUCGGCGGUUGGGGAUGGACUCGCGGCCUAUCAGCUUGUUGGUGGGGUAGUGGCUUACCAAGGCUUUGACGGGUAGCCGGCCUGAGAGGGUGACCGGCCACAUUGGGACUGAGAUACGGCCCAGACUCCUACGGGAGGCAGCAGUGGGGAAUAUUGCACAAUGGGCGGACGCCUGAUGCAGCAACGCCGCGUGCGGGAUGACGGCCUUCGGGUUGUAAACCGCUUUCGCCUGUGACGAAGCGUGAGUGACGGUAAUGGGUAAAGAAGCACCGGCUAACUACGUG